rnacentral:lncRNA from 1 species
GGGUCUGAUCCCCACGGGGGCCCUCCCCACAGUGCUCAGGCACUUCCUUGUCAGCAACAGGUGCGGAACCAAUGGAGAAAUCACCACGACCUUGGCUAAGCCCCCCUCUGGAGAUGGCGGCUGCGGGAAGAAGACACACCUGCCCAGGGCCCCUCCUUGCUCUCAGCUCACCUGGAUAGCUGAGCUCCUCCUCCAGGGCUCACGGCCUCUGCUGACCUCCUGGACCCAGCCAUCAUCUUCCCUGGCACACUGCUGACAUCUCACCAUCUGGUGGAGAACUUCUGGGCAUCUGUCUCUGAACUUGACAAUGACACUGCCCCCACCCCAAACGCCAAGCAAAGCUUCCAUCGCGGUGCCCUCGUGGGUGUCUUCAUCCCCCUGGACUCACAUCAGCCAGAGAAAUCCUGGUUAUUCCUGAAUCUGCAGUGACAGUUUUUACACAAGCAAGGGGCAGGUGCUGGUGCAGGACAUGAAGCCUGCGGCCAGACAGUGCACAACAGGAACCUUUUACUCCACCAUUGCCACUGAGGUGUGAGUCCCCACCAUGCCCCACAGACUGUAGC